AUUGAACGCUGGCGGCAGACCUAACACAUGCAAGUCGAGCGGAGCGGCGGACGGGUGAGUAAUGCCUAGGAAUCUGCCUGGUAGUGGGGGAUAACGUCCGGAAACGGGCGCUAAUACCGCAUACUAUCAGAUUAGCCUAGGUCGGAUUAGCUAGUUGGUGGGGUAAAGGCCUACCAAGGCGACGAUCCGUAACUGGUCGGAGGGGAUGAUCAGUAAAACUGGAACUGAGACACGGUCCAGACUCCUACGGGGGGCAGCAGUGGGGAAUUUUGGAAAAGGGGCGAAGUCCUGAUCCAGACAGGCCGCGUGUGUGAAGAAGGUCUUCGGAUUGUAAAGCACUUUAAGUUGGGAGACGUUACCAACAGAAUAAGCACCGGCUAACUUCGUGCCAGCAGCCGCGGUAAUAC
rnacentral:rRNA from 1 species